rnacentral:piRNA from 1 species
UGUCUUUUUAAACUUUCUUUU